rnacentral:misc_RNA from 1 species
GGAAGGAUCAUUACUGAGUUGUCGACACGAGCUGUUGCUGGUCCUCAAAACAAGGGGACAUGUGCACGCUCUGUUCACACAUCCACUCACACCUGUGCACCCCCCGUAGUUCUAUGGUCCGGAGGACUUUGCCGUCUUCUUCCUGUAGUUCUACGUCUUUACACAUACACCCUAGCAAAGUCUUAUGGAAUGUGUGUAGCGUUUAACGCAAUAAAAUACAACUUUCAGCAACGGAUCUCUUGGCUCUCGCAUCGAUGAAGAACGCAGCGAAAUGCGAUAAGUAAUGUGAAUUGCAGAAUUCAGUGAAUCAUCGAAUCUUUGAACGCACCUUGCGCCUCUUGGCUAUUCCGAGGGGCAUGCCUGUUUGAGUAUCAUGAACACCUCAACUCUCACGGUUUGUCCGUGAUGAGCUUGGACUUCUGGAGGUUUUGCUGGCCUGCGGUCAGCUCCUCUCAAAUGGAUCAGCUUACCAGUGUUUGGUGGCGCCAUGGGUGUGAUAACUAUCUACGCUUGUGGUCGUCUGCCAGGUAACCUUCAGUGAUGGAGGUUUGCUGGG